UACGUAGGGUGCGAGCGUUGUCCGGAAUUACUGGGCGUAAAGAGCUCGUAGGUGGUUUGUCGCGUUGUUCGUGAAAUCUCACGGCUUAACUGUGAGCGUGCGGGCGAUACGGGCAGACUGGAGUACUGCAGGGGGAGACUGGAAUUCCUGGUGUAGCGGUGGAAUGCGUAGAUAUCGAGAGGAACACCUGCGGCGAAGGCGGGGUUGCUGGGCCGACACUGACGCUGAUGCGCGAAAGCCAGGGGGAGCGAACGGG
rnacentral:rRNA from 1 species